GUGGAUUAGAUACCCUGGUAGUCCACGCCGUAAACGAUGGAUACUAGCUGUUGGGGGUAACUUCAGUGGCUAAGCGAAAGUGAUAAGUAUCCCACCUGGGGAGUACGAACGCAAGUUUGAAACUCAAAGGAAUUGACGGGGGCCCGCACAAGCGGUGGAGCAUGUGGUUUAAUUCGAUGAUACGCGAGGAACCUUACCAAGGCUUAAAUGUAGUUUGACAGAUUUGGAAACAGAUUUUUCUUCGGACAAAUUACAAGGUGCUGCAUGGUUGUCGACAACU
rnacentral:rRNA from 1 species